AAUGAACGCUGGCGGCAGGCCUAACACAUGCAAGUCGAACGGAUCCUUCGGGAUUAGUGGCGGACGGGUGAGUAACGCGUGGGAACAUACCCUUUGGUACGGAAUAGCCCCGGGAAACUGGGAGUAAUACCAUAUGUGGUCGAGAGACGAAAGAUUUAUCGCCAAAGGAUUGGCCCGCGUUGGAUUAGGUAGUUGGUGGGGUAAUGGCCUACCAAGCCGACGAUCCAUAGCUGGUUUGAGAGGAUGAUCAGCCACACUGGGACUGAGACACGGCCCAGACUCCUACGGGAGGCAGCAGUGGGGAAGCUUAGACAAUGGGGGAAACCCUGAUCGAGCCAUGCCGCGUGAUCGAUGAAGGCCUUAGGGUUGUAAAGAUCUUUCAGGUGGGAAGAUAAUGACUGUACCACCAGAAGAAGCCUCGGCUAACUCCGUGCCAGCCGCCGCUGUAA
rnacentral:rRNA from 1 species